CGGUACGUCACGGAGUGAACGGACCGUGGCGGCGGUAGCGUUAACACAUGCAAGUCGAACGGGGAGUAAGACAUCGGAACGAGCUGCUUGCACCGAAUGGAAGAAGUCAUAUUCUAGUGGCGGACGGGUGGAGUAACGCGUGGGCGAACCUGCCUUAUACAGGGGAUAACAGCUGGAAACAGCUGCUAAUACCGCAUAAGCGCACAGCGGCGCAUGACGCAGUGUGAAAAACUGAGGUGGUAUAAGAUGGGCCCGCGUCUGAUUAGCUGGUUGGGAGGGUAACGGGCCUACCAAGGCGACGAUCAGUAGCCGGCCUGAGAGGGCGGACGGCCACAUUGGGACUGAGACACGGCCCAGACUCCUACGGGAGGCAGCAGUGGGGAAUAUUGCACAAUGGGGGGAACCCUGAUGCAGCGACGCCGCGUGAGUGAAGAGUAUUUCGGUACGUAAAGCUCUAUCAGCAGGGAAGAAAAAAGGACGGUACCUGAGUAAGAAGCCCCGGCUAACUACGUG
rnacentral:rRNA from 1 species